rnacentral:rRNA from 1 species
GGGGGGGGGGGGGGGGGGGGGGGGGGGGGGGAGGGGGGGGGGGGGGGGGGGUUCGGGGUUGGGGGGGGGGGGUGGGUGGGGGAGGGGGGAGGAACGCGGGGGUGACCGGCGGGCUUCUUGUGGGUAAGCGCAUGAGAGUGUGGGUAGGACAGGAUAUCCGGGGUCUGUCGAAUGAUGGGUAUGGGAACGCUGUGGGUCCGGUGGGGUGGGGGUUCGCGGCCUAUCAGCUGGUUGGUGGGGUGUUGGCGUACCAGGGCGGUGACUGGUAGCCGGCCUGAGCGCGUGGACGGUCACACUGGGACUGAGACACGGCCCAGACUCCUACGGGAGGCAGCAGGGGGGAAUAUUGCACAAUGGGCGCAAGCCUGAUGCAGCGACGCCGCGUGAGGGAUGGAGGCCUUCGGGUUGUGAACCUCUUACGCCAGUGAAGCAGGCCUGCCUCGUUUGUGGGUGGGUUGACGGUAGCUGGAUAAGAAGCGCCGGCUAACUACGUG